ACUGCAGCCAAUCUACACUGCAUGGACCCAUAUGGCUAGAGACCAUGUAUGUGUGCAGUCAAACUACAAUAACCUCACUGUGAGUAACCGAAGCACCGCAGGUCAAAGGACCAGUCACACUACUGCAACAUCAAGCAAGUCACUGACGAGUGGAUAGACAUCCAAGUGACUUCUUGUCUUGGUCACGCUCAGUACCCUUGUUCUCUAACAAGCACCUGCACUAUCACUUCAGUGUCCCUACACUGUGGACUCAAGUCUCGUCCAUCCAGAAGGAAAGUGAUCUGUGCACUGAUCGGAUCGAUCACCGUCCUCGUGAUGAUCCAUUGAUCAGGAGCAUUUAGCAAUUAAUCACCAAUGAUACAUGGCUCAAAUUCUCAACUCUUGAGAAUAUGUAUCAUCAUCUUAUUAAUUCCUUGGACGAUUCAUAGACACAUAAAUAAUAUGAAUGAAAAGAUGCCUUUUAUUUAUUCAAUAAUAAAUAGUCAAGUACAAAA
rnacentral:lncRNA from 1 species